rnacentral:rRNA from 1 species
CCUACGGGAGGCAGCAGUGAGGAAUAUUGGUCAAUGGCCGUAAGGCUGAACCAGCCAAGUCGCGUGAAGGAAGAAGGAUCUAUGGUUUGUAAACUUCUUUUGUAGGGGGAUAAAGAUGUCCACGUGUGGAUAUUUGCAUGUACCCUAUGAAUAAGCAUCGGCUAACUCCGUGCCAGCAGCCGCGGUAAUACGGAGGAUGCGAGCGUUAUCCGGAUUUAUUGGGUUUAAAGGGGGCGCAGGCGGAUUUUGAAGUCAGCGGUCAAAGUGCGGGGCUCAACCCCAGACAGCCGUUGAAAAUGGUGAUCUAGAGUGUGCGUGAGGUAUGCGGAAUGCGUGGUGUAGCGGUGAAAUGCAUAGAUAUCAUGCAGAACCCCGAUUGCGAAGGCAGCAUACCGGUGCACAACUGACGCUCAGGCACGAAAGCGUGGGUAUCGAACAGGAUUAGAUACCCGAGUAGUC